rnacentral:rRNA from 1 species
AACGAACGCUGGCGGCAGGCCUAACACAUGCAAGUCGAACGAACCUUCGGGUUAGUGGCGAACGGGUGAGUAACACGUGGGCAACCUGCCCCGAGCUCUGGGAUAACUCCGGGAAACCGGGGCUAAUACCGGAUAUGACCAUCACGGGCAUCUUUGAUGGUGGAAAGUUUUUCGGCUCGGGAUGGGCCCGCGGCCUAUCAGCUUGUUGGUGGGGUAAUGGCCUACCAAGGCGACGACGGGUAGCCGGCCUGAGAGGGCGACCGGCCACACUGGGACUGAGACACGGCCCAGACUCCUACGGGAGGCAGCAGUGGGGAAUAUUGCGCAAUGGGCGAAAGCCUGACGCAGCGACGCCGCGUGA